rnacentral:rRNA from 1 species
GACGAACGCUGGCGGCGUGCUUAACACAUGCAAGUCGAACGGAAAGGCCCUGCUUUUGUGGGGUGCUCGAGUGGCGAACGGGUGAGUAACACGUGAGUAACCUGCCCUUGACUUUGGGAUAACUUCAGGAAACUGGGGCUAAUACCGGAUAGGAGCUCCUGCUGCAUGGGGGGGGUUGGAAAGUUUCGGCGGUUGGGGAUGGACUCGCGGCUUAUCAGCUUGUUGGUGGGGUAGUGGCUUACCAAGGCUUUGACGGGUAGCCGGCCUGAGAGGGUGACCGGCCACAUUGGGACUGAGAUACGGCCCAGACUCCUACGGGAGGCAGCAGUGGGGAAUAUUGCACAAUGGGCGGAAGCCUGAUGCAGCAACGCCGCGUGCGGGAUGACGGCCUUCGGGUUGUAAACCGCUUUCAGCAGGGACGAAGCUUUUUGUGACGGUACCUGCAGAAGAAGCACCGGCUAACUACGUG